rnacentral:rRNA from 1 species
GGGCGCAAGCCUGAUGCAGCGACGCCGCGUGAGGGAUGACGGCCUUCGGGUUGUAAACCUCUUUCAGUAGGGAAGAAGCGAAAGUGACGGUACCUGCAGAAGAAGCGCCGGCUAACUACGUGCCAGCAGCCGCGGUAAUACGUAGGGCGCAAGCGUUAUCCGGAAUUAUUGGGCGUAAAGAGCUCGUAGGCGGUUUGUCGCGUCUGCCGUGAAAGUCCGGGGCUCAACUCCGGAUCUGCGGUGGGUACGGGCAGGCUAGAGUGAUGUAGGGGAGACUGGAAUUCCUGGUGUAGCGGUGAAAUGCGCAGAUAUCAGGAGGAACACCGAUGGCGAAGGCAGGUCUCUGGGCAUUAACUGACGCUGAGGAGCGAAAGCAUGGGGAGCGAACAGGAUUAGAUACCCUGGUAGUCCAUGCCGUAAACGUUGGGCACUAGGUGUGGGGGACAUUCCACGUUUUCCGCGCCGUAGCUAACGCAUUAAGUGCCCCGCCUGGGGAGUACGGCCGCAAGGCUAAAACUCAAAUGAA